GUGCCCAGUUGGUUAGAGUGUGGGUCUGAUAAUGCCUAGGUUGUGGGUUUGAUCCCCGCAUGGGACA